rfam:Bacillus galactosidilyticus strain PL133 scaffold000137, whole genome shotgun sequence.
GUCCCUUUUAAAAGACAGUCCAGUGAGGCUGACAAAGGGAGGUUAAACAGGAAGCGAUUUUAGCCUGGAAGCGAUUUUAGCCUGCUUCUUUUUGUACCCUCUUUGUCUAGAUAUGGACAGAGGGUUUUUUUAU